UUUUUUGAUAAUAUUUUAAGAUUAGUUCUGCUCAAUGAUUAUAAGAAAUUAAAUAGCCGCAGUAUUUUGACUGUGCUAAGGUAGCAUAAUCAAUUGUUUUUUAAAUGAAAACUAGAAUAAAGGAAUAAAUGAAAUUAAAGCUGUUUCAAGUUUAAAAUUAUAAUUUAUAUUUUGAGUUAAAAUUCUUAAAUGAGUUUAUGGGACGAGAAGACCCUAUUGAAUUUGAUAAAAAUUUUUUAAAGAUUAAUUUUAGUAUGAUUUAGUUAAUUUAAAAAUUUUAUUUUAUUGGGAGGAUAGUUAAAUUUGAAAAACUUUAAUGAAAAUUAUAAUAACAUUAAUUUAUGAUUUAAUAGAAUAAUUUUAUUAAUGUAAUUAAAAUUAUUAUGAGAAUUAAUUACCUUAGGGAUAACAGCGUAAUAUUUUUAUAAAGUUCUUAUUGAUAAAAAUGUUUGCGACCUCGAUGUUGAAUUAAAAUAAAAAUUAAAUGAAAAAGUUUAAUAUUUUAGUCUGUUCGACUAUUAAAAUUUUACGUGAUCUGAGUUCA
rnacentral:rRNA from 1 species